CGACGGAGCACACCGAGGCAAUCUUCGACUUUGGAAACUAUUUCGCUAAAACUAUCAGGCACUAUGAAGUCUAUGCUGAUUACCGUCUGUGUGAUUCUUUCUGUGGUGAUGCAGAUUGCAGAUGCUCAAGGCACAGUCACGGGCAUGGAAUCCACAUCCGCUAAAUUUAAAGCUAAAUGCCGGCGCCUUCAACAGAACUGCAAUAACGGAGACUGCUGCGAUGGAUUAACAUGCGAAUGGUGCAAUAGUUGCACACAAUUUGGCAGGUGUAAACAGGCCCCCAAACGUAUAUGCAAUAGCUUCGCACCGUGCGAAAAAAACAACGGCUAAAGCUAUGUCUGUCGAAGCGCUUCGUGCAACAUUCCCAGGACAUUUUCUAUGUUCUUUGAGAUGUAAGGUACGGAAGCUUGAAUAAAAGAAAAUAAGCGCA